CUCCCCUGCUGCUACGUGGCUCCGCCAGGUCGCUCCCCCGAGCGCUUGAAAGAGAGACAAAGAGCAGUGCACUAGUGCUGCAGAAACAUGCUUUAUUGCAGGGCAGUUCCAGGGGUGCGAGUCCAAAGCCCCCCUGCUCCUGGUGCGAGGCUCCCCUGCGCCCCAAGCGGGGAGCUCGGUGCUGACCGCGGACGACGUCCAACACGUGGCAGGGCUGCCCUUGUCACAGGGCCAUAAGGCUGCUGCCAAGGGGGGUUUUCCUCCGCCUUUUUUUUUCCCUUUUUCCUUUCCUUUCUCUGUUUCUGUUUUCUAUUUCCUGUUUUCCUUUCCUUUUGACUCUUUCCUGGUUUUCUCUUUCCUUUUUGCCUCUCAUAUUUUCUCUCCUUGUUUUCUAUUCCCUUUUCUUUCUUUCCAUUCUUUCCUUUUCUUUCUUUCUUUACAUCUUUCCUUUUUUCUUUUCCUCCCUUUUCUUUUCUUUCCUUCUUUCAUUUUCUCUUGCUUUCUUUUUCUCUCUCUCUCCAAAAGGAAAGACAAAAAGACAAAAGAGAAAGAAAGGAAAGAAAAGAAAUAAGGAGAGACAAAUAGGAAAGAAAUAAGGAAAGAAAAAAGAAAAUUGGAAAGAAAAAAGGAAAGAGAGAAGGGAAAGAGAAAAACGGAAAGAAAAAGCCAAAAAGGGGAAGAGGAAAAAAGGAAGUGGAGAAACAGGAAAGAGAAAAAUAGGAAAAGAAUAAAGGAAAUAGAAUAAUGAAAGGAAGAAGGAAAGCGAAAAAAAGGAAAGACGACAGGAAAAAGACAGGAGAAAGAGGAAAGAGAAAAAUGGCAAGAGAAAAAAGGAAACAAGGAGAGAGAAAAAAAGCAAGAGAAAAAAUGAAAGAAGGAAAGAAAAGGAAGGAAAGAAGGAAAGGCAGCCUUAUGGCCCUGUGACAAGGGCAGCCCUGCCGGGGCGUGCAGUGUGGUUUCCCGUGCUGGACGUCGUCUGCGGUCAGCACCGAGCUCCCCGCUUGGGGCGCAGGGGAGCCUCGCACCAGGAGCAGGGGGGCUUUGGACUCGCACCCCUGGAACUGCCCUGCAAUAAAGCAUGUUUCUGCAGCACUAGUGCACUGCUCUUUGUCUCUCUUUCAAGCGCUCGGGGGAGCGACCUGGCGGAGCCACGUAGCAGCAGGGGAGGGGACUGAGCAGCAGCAGCAGCGCCGCUAGUGCUGCCGGGGGAGAGGGCGAGCCAGGCGUGGGGCAGAAAGGCCUCCCUGGCGGGGAACCGAGGGCCCCCCCGAGAGCAGCAGGUCCCCGUCGGGGGGCAGAGAAUGGCAAAGAGCUGAUGCUGCUCCCGAGGGGGCCGACGAGAAAGGCAGCGCACAGGCCCGGCAGGGCUGCUGCUUCCCGGGUGCGGCUGCUCCCAGGACACCCAGGAAAGGGCAGGAGAGGACCCGGCCCGACAGCAGCCCUGCCUGGGAGCAGCAGCAUGCUGGCAGGCUGCAACUGGAGAAGACGCCCCCUCCGUCGGCCCCUGCCAGCAGGGGCGCUCCCCUCCCCAGGCAGCUGGAGGACAGGGUCCCACUGCAACCUGCAAAAGGCAGUGGCCAUUCUCUGGAGUUUGGAAAUGAUUUCUGGGUGGACUGACUCACGCACCAAGAAGACAGCUGCGGCACACUCUAGUCUGAUGCAGUCAUGGGUUUCUGAGCCUUCCUUUUGCUGUGGCUCCACUGAGCUGCCUGCACUGCUUCCGACACAUUCAGUGGCUUUUCGCCAUGGAAAAUGGCUUCUCCCUACUGGGCACAGAAGGUGGUUGAUGAUGUGGAAGCAGCUCUGCUCUCCAUGUCUGUGCUUGCACUGAAUGAAAUCCCUCUCAGGCAUCGCUUCCAAGAAGGGCAGCAGACAUUACAGAGGACAUGGCCUCCAAGGGCCUGCACUGAAACCUGGCGGAGCUUUGAAGUUGCAGUUUGAUGCUUUCCUUUACAGAAGUUGUUUUGCUGCCCAUCUUCUGGAGACAGUUUGCCCACCUGAACUAUAGCUGUAAAAAUCAUGACUCAUAAUUUAAAACUAAACAGAAUCCCACCUGCAGCAUUCCUCAUGCCUUUGCUUUCCAGAGCUGCACGCAUAUGCAGUGGCUGGACUGUUUUCAGAUCUGAACGACAGCACCGAGAAAUGCUCUCCACCAUAGCGAUAGCAUCCAGGCCGAGAAGGGUUGGGAACAUGGAGAGGAAAUCCUUCUGGAUGUGCAUGACAACUCCCCAGGCCAUGACAACUCCCCAGGGAGUCUUAAAUGGUCCCAGCACAGUCUAAUUAAGCCAAAAUAUGAUCACCUAAGACACGUCAAAGUCUAGAAUCUUUGUACUGAGAGACACUACUGACUUUCUUCUGGAUUACUGGGAAACUAAUGAAUGGGACAGAGAGAAGGAUUUGUCUCAUGUUUCUGCCUCAAUUCCCAAAGGCACACAGUGUAAUCGCUGAGUGUCUGUGGGUCAGAAGCUAGUUGGUGUGAUUCCUGUGUGGUCAUUAGUGAUGCGGUAGUGGGUAGUGAUGAUGUGGUUGGUGUGCCUGUUGGCAUUGCUGGGUCUCACAGCAGCCCAUGAGAAGGCCCUGUGUGCACAACCCACUGCUGCCUUGCAGCGAAGAGCAGUCUCAUACUGCAGCUUUAACUCGUCAGCUGCAACCAAGUGCUCCAGCAGCAGGAAGUCUUUCUGGUAUCAUGGACCCAAACCACACAGUGCCUCAAGGAUAAGUGUCUCAAACAUUGAACUCAAAUCAACUCUGUGAGGGCACGACAGAGCAACAGAGCAUGGACUGAGAUGCUUGCGGUGACCUGUGUCACUUGGAUGCUACACAGCAAUGGUCUGUAUGAAAAGGAGUUUUCUAAGUGCUUUCUGCUUAGGUAGACAAUGUUGCUUUAGUCCACUCAGAGUCAUACUGGAUCAAAUUUAGGUAAUUAACUGGAAGUUGGCUAGCUCUGGCUAGCUGCUUGAGGGACUUACUCUGGACUAAGAUUUCAUACUGAGCAGUACUUGAUUAAAACCAAAGUAUCUCCCUAAGUUUUUCUCCGCGUUAGUCAAGGCACAGGGAGAAAGGGAAACUGCCUUCUCUGAAUGAUGCAUGGGGUAUUUCAGUCACAACAGCCCUUGUUUGUGGUGCUUUUUUACAGCCCAGCGUGAUGCAGUUGGAAUUCAGACAUCUUUGGUGCGAGAUCCUUUAGGGUGUCUAAAACGGCUCUAAGUGAAGGAGCUGACUCAAGGACAUGGGUGGGAUGAGCUGUUGAUGCCUCCUCCGUUUGUGACAUUCCUACUGAAAUCAGGUGACCAAAGGUGCUGCUCUGUGUAGUGGCAGCCCACAUCACAGCCACACAAAUGUCUGCUCUUGGUUACACCACAGUUUUACCUAGAUCGAUGUCCUGUCUUUCACAAUGGCCAAAGGCUGAUGACUAGAGAAGAGUGCAAGAAAAAAGUAAAUGCAUAGUGAUUGUUCCCAAGAGUAGUCAUCUGUCUGGCAGUAAUUUCUGGCUGAGGGAUUUAUUGAACUAGGGGUGAUACUUUAAUAUUCAAUUGCCCUCUUAGAGAGUUUGAGUAGUUCUAGUGGGCAGUUUUCCUAGUUCCUGUUUGUCCUAUGGCUAAAUUCCCCCCUCUGCAAUUUAGAAAUACUAUGAAAGGUAUUUAGUUCUAAUGGACCCUUUAGACAUCACCUUAAUGUUGAAUGCAAUAUAUUUCUUCAAUUAACCAUCUAGGCGCUGGCAAUUGAUUAGGAAAAUCCAUUUCUUCCAGUUUUACACCAUUAUUCAUCAAACACCCACUCAAGAUAGCAACAGCCAAGUGAGGUGGCCAAAAAUUCAUUGAGUCUAUUCAAUCUUUUACAGCCUUAAAAUUAAUGAAUAGGCUUAUAGCAAUAUUGGCAGUUACCAGAAGUUAACCACAAAUAAGCAUGAGGUUAACACCACAAAUCCACUUGCUCAGGAAGUUCUUGAAACAAAUCUGAAAUGCAGUGUUCCUGUCUGACAGCAGAGAACAAACUAAGCAUUUUUCUUAGCUCUUAAAAUGCAUUUAAAUGCCAGCAUUCUCAAGGUGAAAUUUGGUUUCUGAAAGGAAUUUGCAUCAAAAUUAUCUCUGUACCCACUUCCCCAGAAAAGAGUUGAUUGUCCCUUAUUUUCAUAACCUCUGUGCCAAGUAUCCCAAGUAUGAGGAAAUAUCGAGUUCUGCAUCUUACUCGCAGCAGCGUUUUCCCUUCAGGCAGUCUCCUCUCCUCCUGUCAGAACAAUUCAUGCCAAUUCCAUUUGCAGGAUUGUUCAGAGGAGGCAGUGCCACCCAGCACAGCCUUGACUGUGAGGGGUAGCAGCUGUACCUUAUUAAUUCUGGUGCCACCAGAGCCCCAUCGAGAUUGAUGCCUUGUUCUUCUGCCUGUUGUACAGCAAGAGAAAAGAGAUGAACCCUGCCCAGAUGUGCCUACAAGCAGAAAAAGGAAAGAGGUUGUGCUUACAACAGCCAGGCACCAGAAACUGCUGAGAAAUGAGCAUGAAACAGUGAGGGCUUUUCUAAAGGUGGGUGCUUGGGGAUGUGUCUACAUUACCUAGAAGUAUAAAUGCGAAGGGGAUUAGUUAAAUCUCUUUAUAUCUCUACAUGGAUGUUCUCAUUUAAAGUGAAGGUGACCUUUGUCUGGUGACUCAGUUCAUGUUAGUCAACCAUUUGCAACAAUUUUCAUGAAUUCUAAUAAAUUUUUCUGAGUGUCCCAAUGUGUACAGGCCAUAGUACAAUUCUUUCAUUUGCCUGGCUGGGGCUAGAAGAAGAGAGAGCAGAAGGAAAAGGAGUCAUUCUGUUUAGUCAGGUCAGAAACUUGAGGUCUGAGUGCUUUGUGAAAGAGAUGAGGCUUAAGCAGAGACCAGGUACCUCCUGUUCACAGCAAUUGUUCACAUGCAGAAGGUCUAUAUGGGAGAAAGCAAGGCAGUGUCAAAGGAUGGCAGAGGCUGGGAAUAGUCAUCUAGGAAGAGUCUGGAAGAUGAAAAGAGAAGUUUGUACUUGAUGGGGUGGAACUUGGGGGGAUGAUAGGACAUGAAGGGGCAAAAAUAGAGAGGAAAAUGAUUUAGAGAGUAGCACUCUGAAGGGAUUUGGUGCAGGAGCAAACAAAACUGGAAAGGAGGAGGGCUUUGAAAUGAUAUGAGCUAAGGAAGAAGGUUCUGGUAUGUGAACUGAGAAAAAAAGGUCAGAUUUUAGAGAGGUUGUGGAAGAUGAAGAAAGGUGAGACACAGAAACAGUCGUAUCUAGAGAAAGGAGAAGGAAAGAUGAUAUCUAGGAAAAAGACUGAGAUGAGUUAGAAGAAACUGGUAUUGACCUGUCAGACACAGAGAGCAGUGCUAAAGCAGACAGCAUUACAGCCAGACUGACCAAAGAGGGAGAAGUCCAUGGUGAAGGCAAAAUCCAUUUUACUGAGUCCAAAACAUAGACCACAGGUGCAGGGCAAAUCAAGAGAACAGAGCAAAGAGAUAGGAUGUUAGGUAGUCAAAUGGACAUUGGUGUGGAGAUGAGGGUUGAUGAGGAUGUGGUUUGGAGGUAACAAUGUAAGGAAAAGUCAAAGUCCAAGGGAGGGCAUCAGAGAGCUAUCAGGGGACAGCAAUGCCAGGAUUGGGCAAGAAGAAGUCAGAGGAAAUAGUGUUGAUGGGAAGAGGGUAAAUAAGAGUAAGGAGAUGUUGGAAUUAGUAAAAAUGAAAAGAAAAGCCCAGCAGCUUCUGUCCACUUCUCCCUCCUUGGACUAGAGAAAUAGACCUAAUCACUGAGAAAGGUGUGAGAGAGAAAAGGCAGGAGAAAGAAGACAACAAGGAUGGAGAAAUGGUGAGAUGAUAUCACCCGAGGAGCAGGGAGGAAAGCUGAAAAGGGAGGAAAUAUGGGCAGGGAGAAGAAAACUGGCAGGACAAAGCAACAGCAUUGGAGAGGGUAGGUAGGUGGGUGCAAUGGAGCAGUUGGAGAAGAAUGUGUACGGAAGAACUGGAGAAGACCUCUUGCAAAGGCUACUUGAAAUCCAGUCUGCUUGCCGUUCCUAACAGAAUGAGACACAGAGGUGACUCUUGCAGCAGCACCAUCCUGAAGCCAUCGCUAGCUCCCCCUCCUGCCAGGCUGAGCCACAAUUCCCUUUAUGGCACAAGGAUCCUGACAGUCCAUAAUCCACACUCCCAGUUCAGAUGUCUCCAAAAAAUUGUCACUGAAGAAGAGAAAGAAUUUCAUUAAUGCAAAGAUGAAGGAUAAAACACCCUGAAUGAAAUAAAAAAACACAGAAGAGCUUUGCCAGGCUGGCUCUGUGUUAUGUUUCCAAACUACUGCUUCGAGUAUGCAGAGCUAAUACUUAUUAGAAAAAUCCUUCUCCUAAGGCAGUAGCAGCAGAGUUUCUCAGCUCCGGGGAUCCCACGUUCCAGUGAAGUGUCACCUUCUUUUUCCUGGCUCACUGGACAGAGCUGAGUGCACCGGUGGUAUCCUCCAGCAUCCAUCUGGCAGCCCCUGUGCCUGCAGAGCUCACCGCUCUCCGAGUUGUCUCCGAGAUGGCUAUGAGAUCAGCCGUGCAAUUCUGUGCCACUUCGGGGCUGUCCAAGGCUACAGACACAACAGAGAUGGUUACUGCAUGCUUGGAGAAAUCUUCAGUGGGCAAUGAGUUGUAACAGUUGAAUAUCAAUAGCGUUUGCUGUGGAGCACUUUAACAGAAAUACCCAGCUAUUAUAGGGUAGUAGUCAGAGCUUGGGGCAGAAAGCCUGGCUUUCCUCACAGUCCUGGUGACAGGAGUACCAUUCAUGAAGAAAUCAGACACAACCCUUUCAUGUUUUGGGGGUCAGUUUGCACAACAGUAGUAUUGUUUCCAGUCUUAAGGCUGACAUGAAGAUUUAGGCAAUCAGGCUCCUUGGUGUUUGCCUGGGAGGGCUCUUUUUGAAGAGGAGGGGAAAAUGCAAAUGUUGAAGGACUAAGGAUUGCAGAAGAAUUGCUUGAAGUGUGUGAAGAACUAGGGGAACUCGAGCUAAGUCACAUAGGCAAGCUGAAUGGAAGGGAUUCCUGGUCAGGAUACCCUUUUAAAGCUAGCGUUAAAUAUCCUGGGCUGUGCAUAGAUCACGCAUGGGUUUAAUAGAUGUGACUGAUAUUUCUGCUUUAUAUUCAUCAUAUAACAUGUUGUAAAGCUCUUUAAGAAACCUUGAAUUGAAAAUAUAUCUAAAGUCAACUUUUUUGGGGGGGAGAUAUUUGAUCUUUAGGUAUAUCUACUUAAUGAAAAGUCAUGUCUGGUCAAUGCUUUUUUGCAAUUAUGUCUUUAAGAUCUGCAACCAUGAGUAACUCCAAAUAUUUUAAUUCACUGUGAAUCACCCUAAAGGUUGAAAAUCUUUUAUCUUUCUUCCAGAUGUCAGUAGAUACACCCACAAUUAAUUCCAGGCAUUAAAUACCACAGGUUCAAAGCCUCCAAAUGCUGAAAAUCAACAUGUGCACUUUACCAUGUUUUCUGGGUACCAUUACAGAGUAGUAAGGUGAUUCCAGUAAAGUGACAGGCAGCAAACUUACAGGGCCUUGCUGUGUAGCAACUGUAAGAAUUACUCUUGACUAGUGAGAUGCCUCUCCGCCUUGUUACUGACUAAAUCAAACACUAGUUUGAAAUUCAUUGCACUGGGUGCCUGCCAGAAAAUGUAGUGCAAUGCAGUUUAUUUGAAUUCCAAAUGUUCUCAGUAGGACUGAAGUUGAGUAAACAAUAUCCCUAAAAAGACACUUUGAGACCAAAGCAGUUACAGUCACCAAGGAAAAAGUAACCUGAAGGCAUUGAUCAAUCUGAAUUUUUUUCUUGCCAAAUAAAGAAAUGCAACAAUAGGCUGCUUUUUUAACAGAAGGAACUCAAAGAAGGAAUAUCACUGUAAAAAAUAAAGUUGUUUUCACACUC